UGGGAUGUAGCUCAGUGGUAGAGAGCUUGUCAAGCAUGUGCAAGGCCCUGGGUUCAAUCCCCAGCACAGCAA
rnacentral:tRNA from 1 species